GUUAUGUCAUAUGACCAAAGCAAAAGUUUUGACAUGAAUUUGUUUGGCUCAAGAAUUUGCGUAUGUGCAGAUGAAGAUCUUUGCUUCUAUAUAAGUUGAUCCAUGAUCUAGCAUACUCGUAUUUGGUGCAAUUAGAUACACGGAAGUGGAUUGGAAAAUGCUUCAUGCUAAAAAAGGAUUAACUUUCAGUACGUUUGAAGUUAUAUGGGGGAUAAGUAAUGGACAUAAACGUCUCGACGAGCCACACACAUGGACAAAUGCUAUAGGCGGGUUUUCCCAAAUCUCGGCAACCAAUUUCGUCAUCUAGACCUCCAAUUUUGAAGCCAAGGCUGUCAAUUUCAGGGAACCCUUGGAGCGGUUACACAUUGCGUCUGAUGGCACUUGGCAUUCAUGGGCUAGGUUACGCACCUCCGAUUGGAACUUAUAACCAAUAAAGAAUUAAUGGAACUUGUCUCUGAUGUCAAGUUACCAUUUGGUGAAGUUUAAAAGAACUUACCACUGAAGCAAGUUACCUCUAGUGAAGAUUGAUGAAGUCUCGCUAAUGAAGAAGAGAUACCACGUAUUAGC